UACGUAGGUGGCAAGCGUUGUCCGGAAUUAUUGGGCGUAAAGCGCGCGCAGGUGGUUUCUUAAGUCUGAUGUGAAAGCCCACGGCUCAACCGUGGAGGGUCAUUGGAAACUGGGGAACUUGAGUGCAGGAGAGAAGAGUGGAAUUCCAGGUGUAGCGGUGAAAUGCGUAGAUAUCUGGAGGAACACCGGUGGCGAAGGCGGCAUCCUGGACCGGUAUUGACGCUGAGGAGCGAAAGCCAGGGGAGCAAACGGG
rnacentral:rRNA from 1 species